CAGUCGCCGCGGGAAAACAGAGGGUGCAAGCGUUAAUCGGAAUUACUGGGCGUAAAGCGCGCGUAGGUGGUUUGUUAAGUUGGAUGUGAAAGCCCCGGGCUCAACCUGGGAACUGCAUCCAAAACUGGCAAGCUAGAGUACGGUAGAGGGUGGUGGAAUUUCCUGUGUAGCGGUGAAAUGCGUAGAUAUAGGAAGGAACACCAGUGGCGAAGGCGACCACCUGGACUGAUACUGACACUGAGGUGCGAAAGCGUGGGGAGCAAACAGGAUUAGAUACCCCCGUAGUCCCUGUCUCUUAUAC
rnacentral:rRNA from 1 species